rnacentral:rRNA from 1 species
GUUGUAUAGUCAAGUAAUUAAGUGCAUGUGGUGGAUGCCUUGGCAGUCAGAGGCGAUGAAAGACGUGAUAGCCUGCGAAAAGCUCCGGGGAGGCGGCAAAUAUCCUUUGAUCCGGAGAUGUCUGAAUGGGGGAACCCACCUACUUUAAGGUAGGUAUUGCAACAUGAAUACAUAGUGUUGCAAGGCGAACGAGGGGAAGUGAAACAUCUCAGUACCCUUAGGAAAAGAAAUCAAUUGAGAUUCCCUCAGUAGCGGCGAGCGAACGGGGAUCAGCCCAUUAAGUUAUGUGUGUUUUAGUGGAACGCUCUGGGAAGUGCGAACGUAGAGGGUGAUAUUCCCGUACACGAAAGGGCACACAUAAUGAUGACGAGUAGGGCGAGGCACGUGAAACCUUGUCUGAAUAUGGGGGGACCAUCCUCCAAGGCUAAAUACUCCUGACUGACCGAUAGUGAACCAGUACCGUGAGGGAAAGGCGAAAAGAACCCCU